rnacentral:rRNA from 1 species
GCAUAUCAAUAAGCGGAGGAAAAGAAACUAACAAGGAUUCCCCUAGUAACUGCGAGUGAAGCGGGAAGAGCUCAAAUUUAAAAUCUGGCAGUCUCAUCGGCUGUCCGAAUUGUAAUCUAGAGAAGUGCGUUCUGUGCUGGACCAUGUACAAGUCUCUUGGAAUGGAGCAUCGUAGAGGGUGAGAAUCCCGUCUCUGACAUGGACUACCAGGGCUUUCCAUGAUGCACUCUCAAAGAGUCGAGUUGUUUGGGAAUGCAGCUCAAAAUGGGUGGUAAAUUCCAUCUAAAGCUAAAUACAGGCGAGAGACCGAUAGCGAACAAGUACCGUGAGGGAAAGAUGAAAAGAACUUUGAAAAGAGAGUUAAACAGUACGUGAAAUUGUUGAAAGGGAAACGUUUCAAGUCAGUCGUGUUGGCUGGCAAUCAACCUUUGCAAUCUUUUUGCUGGGCUUACUUUCCAGUCAACGGGUCAGCAUCAAUUUUGACUGUUGGAUAAAGUCGGGAGGAAUGUGGCAUCCUUGGAUGUGUUAUAGCCUCUUGUCGCAUACAAUGGUUAGGAUUGAGGAACUCAGCAUGCCCUUCGGGGAUCGGGGCCUUUUUGGGCCCACGUUUCAUGCUUAGGAUGCUGGCAUAAUGGCUUGAACCGACCCGUCUUGAAACACGGACCAAGGAGUCUAACAUGCCUGCGAGUGU